rnacentral:rRNA from 1 species
UACGUAGGGGGCAAGCGUUGUCCGGAUUCAUUGGGCGUAAAGAGCGUGUAGGCGGCCAGGUAGGUCGGUUGUGAAAACUGGAGGCUCAACCUUCAGAGGUCGACCGAAACCAUCUGGCUAGAGUCCGGGAGAGGAGAGUGGAAUUCCUGGUGUAGCGGUGAAAUGCGCAGAUAUCAGGAAGAACACCCGUGGCGAAAGCGGCUCUCUGGAACGGUACUGACACUGAGGCGCGAAAGCGUGGGGAGCGAACAGG